UAAUAAUUUCAAAUUCACUUUUUAACCUCAAAUUCCACUUCCAUUUCUCGGUGGAAAAUUAGAUAGGUGAGGACGUCAGUUGCGUUCCAAAACAUUCUGACGAAAUGUCAGAUCAACGAACGAACAAAGAGAAUAAUCCAAUCCAUCACAAUAAAUAAAAUCAGAAAGUAUUUCCUGAAUUUCGAGGAGGUAAUCAUUGAAAUUCCAUUCUAGUAGUUAAACACUCAAAUUCAAAAGGAACGACAUCCACCCCUUGUCGGCGUGGUCUUUGCGAGGUUGAUGAGGACCAUGUAAUACCCAGCAUUCAAAUGGUCAAUGGAAAUUUCAACGUCCUCAUCAGAUGGUUGCCACAGCUUUUAUAUCAACAUUUGCCAACGUUAUGGCAACUUCUUCAAUUUACGUUCAAGUUGCAUUCAUUCAAUUAUGUUAAAAACCAUCAAGUGAAUAGUAAAUAAAAAUUUCUUUUGUAUUGUUGAGUUUAGAUCAUGAUAAGCGGUCCCCUGGCCCGAUGGAUAAAUUAAUGCAGAACCUGGCCAACGUGGCCUUGUGUGGUGGAUUUAUUUUGCCCAUGAACUAAAAUUUUGGUCGGAAUCCCAUACUUGGCUAUUCUUAAAGAGAUAAUUUUCCCUCGGCUUUGUCACUUGAGUAGAAGGCCUUGAAGUUUUCCCACAUAUUGUGAAACUGACUACGCGGACCUCUAGAUGCAUUUCCACCCUGUCCA